UUGGCUAAUCCUGGUCGGACAUCAGGAGGUUAGUGCAAUGGCAUAAGCCAGCUUGACUGCGAGCGUGACGGCGCGAGCAGGUGCGAAAGCAGGUCAUAGUGAUCCGGUGGUUCUGAAUGGAAGGGCCAUCGCUCAACGGAUAAAAGGUACUCCGGGGAUAACAGGCUGAUACCGCCCAAGAGUUCAUAUCGACGGCGGUGUUUGGCACCUCGAUGUCGGCUCAUCACAUCCUGGGGCUGAAGUAGGUCCCAAGGGUAUGGCUGUUCGCCAUUUAAAGUGGUACGCGAGCUGGGUUUAGAACGUCGUGAGACAGUUCGGUCCCUAUCUGCCGUGGGCGCUGGAGAACUGAGGGGGGCUGCUCCUAGUACGA
rnacentral:rRNA from 1 species